AGGGAUGUGCUUCUAUCAAAGUCUGUCAUCAAAUAAUCUGGCAUGUGCAUGUUAAGUUUAAGACACUGCCAGCAAUAAUUGGUUGCUAAAAAAAAUAAAGAAUCACAUUUUAAAUAGCAUGGAAAAAGGAUCUAAAUUAUAUUUUUGCAUAUCUUACAACAAAUUCAAAUUACAGAGUUCGGCAUCACAUUGAAUUUAAGAGACUGCAUGUAUUCAAUAGGGCAUAUUCUCCAGGAGAGGAAAUCAGCUUCCCAAAACAUGGCAACUUUAUUUAUUAGUUCUACUCGUAUCUGUCUAGUUUUAGUUAACAUAAAACAAUAAACAAACUACAAAUAUUGAAAUGUAACGACUUGACCCAAGUCGAAAAAUUACUAAAAA